rnacentral:rRNA from 1 species
UUAAAUCAGUUAUCGUUUAUUUGAUAGUACCUUACUACAUGGAUAACCGUGGUAAUUCUAGAGCUAAUACAUGCUAAAAACCCCGACUUCGGAAGGGGUGUAUUUAUUAGAUAAAAAACCAAUGCCCUUCGGGGCUCCUUGGUGAAUCAUAAUAACUUAACGGAUCGCAUGGCCUUGCGCCGGCGACGGUUCAUUCAAAUUUCUGCCCUAUCAACUUUCGAUGGUAAGGUAUUGGCUUACCAUGGUUUCAACGGGUAACGGGGAAUUAGGGUUCGAUUCCGGAGAGGGAGCCUGAGAAACGGCUACCACAUCCAAGGAAGGCAGCAGGCGCGCAAAUUACCCAAUCCCGACACGGGGAGGUAGUGACAAUAAAUACUGAUACAGGGCUCUUUUGGGUCUUGUAAUUGGAAUGAGUACAAUUUAAACCCCUUAACGAGGAACAAUUAGAGGGCAAGUCUGGUGCCAGCAGCCGCGGUAAUUCCAGCUCCAAUAGCGUAUAUUAAAGUUGUUGCAGUUAAAAAGCUCG